UUAGAAAGGGCACUCUUGCUGGAACCAAGGCCACAGCUUGUCACGAAAGCCAGACGUUGGCAGACGGGACUGAUGGGGCAGGAAGGGCCCCUUGGGGUAGAUGAGGCACAUCCCUGAUGCCUCCCCCAGUCUGCCAGUCAGGGGAGGGGAAGGAGACCCUCAGGUGCACAGAACACAGAUAAUCCACAUUGUUACAGGCCGCCCGGCUGCUUCUGAGAAUGGACUUUAAGGUAUUUGGGACUCAUCCUCCACAACCUCGCCCUCAGCAGUGACACAGUUUGGAAGCGUAACGAGAUGGUGCUCCUCGAGGCAAAACUGAGAAGUCAGAACCAGGAAAGAAUGACUUCAUAUCCUGUACUUGUGUUAGGAUACAUGUAACCCGUACCUCUGCGGCAUUUAAGGUUGGAUUUCCCCAGGAGCGGCCCCUGACACAAGCAUUCCAGUCAAUCUAGUUUAUCUGGAGGGAAUCCGGGAAGCUCUGGGCAGGGAAUGGGAAAGUGACAUAGAGAACAUGACCUUAGUGAGCGGCCAGAGUGACCACCAAGAGGGGUUGUUUCAGGUGGCGUGUCUCACCCAAAUAGCACCUGUCUGUUCACAAUAAAGUAACGGAGAGCACCCCGUGCCAGGAAAGAUUGUGCGAGAUGGAGACACUGAGGCCCUGAGUGGUUCAGAGAGCAGUGAAGUGACAGCCAUGGAUGUGGACGCAGCAGGUGCAUGCUCUCCCCAUCACCACACUGCCAGCUGACAGUCAGUCACACUUGGGGUAUUUGCUGACUGACCGAGCAGAACUGGAGAGGACAGUAAGGAAGAGGAGGAAUUCAGCACGGUGUCCGAGGAAGACUGACGGCCUUGGAGCCACACAGGGCUGAGUUCAACACCCUUCCCUCUGCCCCCCCCCCGCCUCAGCCAACAGCCCUGUGAACACUACCGUGCCACACACCGUGGAAAAUUAAAGGAUGGUAGAGAAAGAGAAUCAUCACCGAAUGCAAAGAGAGAGAAAGACAAAAACACGUAAAACCACAAUAAUCGGGGCACCUGGGUGGCUCAGUUGGUUGAGCAUCUGCCUCUUGAUUUCGU